ACCAUAAAGUCUUAUCGUCGCUCUGAUACCAAAUGAUAAGACCCUAAAGUCUUAUCGUGGAAGAAAGGGGAGAAAUGGGGAUGAUAACGAUCGCUUCGAGGGAAUCGACCCUCGAUCACUUCAAGGGGAUCGGCCCUCCUUGAUCGCUUCGAGGGAAUCGGCCUCCUAAGGUUUGUCAAAAGACAGAAUAGUAUUUUUCAUAGAUAACUGAAAAGAAGUAGUUACAUCCCUAUUUAUAGAGUUCCACCCAAAGUCCAUUAGGACUUGAACUCUAAUAAUAAAUAAAUAUUAAAUAAACCUCUACUUGACUCUAACUGAACUAAACCGACUCAAUAAAUAACUAGACUAAACAAACUCAACAAACAUUAUUCAAAAGCUCAGAAAAAGGGUCCUAACAGUUCCUCUCUCUUCAAAUCAUCCUUGUCCUCGAGACUGAGCAGCAUCAAUCUCGGGGAGCUUCUCUUUCAGCACUUCCAUCAUAGGCUAUCUGCAACGCAUCACCACCCGUUGAUCAAGUAAGUAUGGUCUCCACUUUUUGACAGUGUAAGCAACAGGUCGAUCUUUUAGUGUAGUAAUCAUUGCAAGAAACUCCUGGCCUUUACUAUCACAAGUUAAAAUCCGUCCAUCAGUAAUCUUUAUUUCGAAUCUGUCACAGCCUUCAAUGCAGUAAGCUAAUCGGGCUGCAAUUUUCCUAUCCAUAAAAUUAUUAGUGCUGCACGUAUCAAUCAACAUAGUGACAGGCUGAUGCUUCAAAGUUCCUCUGAUUUUCAUAGUUUGUGGGUUAGCAUAGCUAGCCAAUGCAUGCACUGUAUGUGUGAUGGCUUCAAUAUCUUCAUCAGUUUCCACACCUUCAUAAUCGGAGUCCAACUCUUCUGCUUUCGGUUCCUCUCCAAUUGGCUCAAUUAUCAUAUGUUGCCCUUGUUUACAUUGGUGCUCCAUACUCCAUUUUUCAUCAUAAUACAAAUCCCUUGCUGAUCUUUCCUUGCUAAUUUUUUUCUCAUGUAGAUUUGCAAAUGAGAUCGCAGCUAUUAUAGUACGGGGUUGACGAGCCUUAACUUCACACCGGAUCUCUGGAAUAAGCCCUUCAAUAAAUGUAUCCAGAAGUUGUCGAUCCGACCAAUCUCUAGCUUGAUUUGACAAUAUUUCAAACCUACUCUGAUAUUCUAACACUGUAGAGGUCUGAUGAAUUUUGGCGAGCUAGCAAUCAACAUUCUCAUAUUCGGAUGGGCCAAAGCGAACAAGAAGCCCUCUUUUGAACUGCUCCCACGAAGGAACUCCGUGGAAAGUUUCAUACCAAUCGUACCACUGGUGUGCAUCUCCCUCGAGCUAGAUUGAGGCCACUUCUACCUUGGAUUCUUCUGGGGUUCUGUGAAAACGGAAAAAAAUUUCUGCCUUAGAGAUCCAAUUGGUCAGAUCUCCAUCUUUCCAUCUCGAAAAUUCUAUCUUCAUGUGUGAGUAAUUUGUGUCACAAUCUUGGGGCCCUUUUCCUGUAUUUUCAGAUAUGUGCAACGUAGAACUUGAGCCCCCAUUUUGUUAAAAUUUGCUAAGGCUCUCUAGUAGGCUCUUUUUGAAAUCAUUAAGUGUUUCUUGCAGUCGGUUCUCAAUUCUGAUUUCCAAUGCUUCCAUUUGUGCUUUCACCGAGUUAUCAGUGGCCCUUGCGUAAGACUGCAAAUCUGUAAUCUUAACUCCUGUUUUUGGUGUCGGUUAAGGGCAUCAACACUGUCAAUGCGAAGUUGCCGAGGAGGUGGACGCCAAGGGCAAUGCUGCGGUCGCUGCGUUGGAGGAAGAGUAGCUGCCCUGUUUCUAUCGCUGCGUGAGGUGAGAGCGCCGGGGUCGGAAGGCGACUGCGUUGAUGUGGCUGUAGCUGCUGCGACCCAAGGGGCGAUCGCCGAGCAACGGGGUUGAGGCUGCAGUGAUGGCAACCUGUGGUGAUGGCAACCUGUGGUUGUGGCAGAAUAUGCUAAGUAAGGGGGAGGCGGCGUUGAUGCGGCCGAGGUUAAGAAGAGGAAUCGGUGUUACGUGCGCUGCUGGGGUUAAGGCAAGGUAGCGUACUUGCUGCGGUUGCUGCGUUCGCUGUUGGAGGGCGGCUACUGCAGAACGAGGGGUUGGUCGUUGGCCGAGAGCGACGAUGGUGGUUACAAUCGGCAGCUACGACAACAGAGGGUGCCACUGUUUUUGUUGCUGCGUACUCUGUUUUUGUCGCACCACCGAAGGAGUUGGCCGGAAGGAUCACGAGCAAUUGAGGAGAAGGCUGCGGUGGCUGGCAGCAGCGGAGGUCGCUGGCCGGAGCACAGCGUUGGCGGUGGAGAAAAAGGCAACGAGCAUCGUCGCUGGCCGGGAAGUUGCGAUGUUAGAGAUGGGAAACAAGGUGCACUGUUUCUAUCGCACCACAGCCGGAGCCGCUGGCGAUGCUGGCAACAGCGGUGCGGUGGUGAUCGUGCGGCCGAGAAGCAACGACAACGGUGGAGAAGGAGGAGUCGGCGGUGUCACGGUUGGGAACAAGGGCAACCGGUGAGUUGCCCUGUUUCUGGCACUACAGAUGCAGAGCAAGGAGGAUCAGCUGCUGGGAGGCGAGCGGCGGUCGUCGCACGGUGGCCCGCAGCGAUGAUGGGUCGGCUGGGCGACGAUGGCGCUGGAGGGGAAGAGGAGUGCUGGAGGCGGCACGGCUGGUGGAGGCGCGGCUACGAUCGACGAGGGGCUGCGGCAAUAGAGUAACUCUGUUUCUGCAACCGUUGCAAUGAGGGGCUGCGGCAACCGGCGGCUGCGGCUGCGACCCAAGGGGGGGGCACGACUAGGGUUGCGGCUGGGAGGCGGGCGAAGGUGAUCGAUCGGCCGGGAAGCAGCGGCGACGGUGGAGAAGGAGUUGCCCUGCAGCGGCGGUAGAGAAGAGGAGCAGGGCUGCGGCGGAGUGAGACGCUGGCAGCGUCGUCUCCUGGCAGCGGUGGUGGCUCGGGUGGGAGGUGGCGGUGGACUCUGGCCGGAAGUGGGGCAGAGUCGGUUGCUGCCUGGAGAGCAGCGACGGGCGACAGGUGGGCUAGCCGGAAGCAGGGGAAGCAGGGGUGCGUGGCUACGAGUGCGUGGCUGCGGUUGCUGCUUCUUCUUCUUUCUUUCUUUCUUUCUUUCUUUUUUUUUUUUUUUUUUUUUUUUUUUUGAUAGCUUCGUUGCAGCGAGAACGUCAAGGAUCGCUGCUCUGAUACCAAAUGAUAAGACCCUAAAGUCUUAUCGUAGACUCUGAUACCAAUUGAUAAGACCCUAAAGUCUUAUCGUCACUCUGAUACCAAAUGAUAAGACCCUAAAGGUCUUAUCGUCGCUCUGAUACCAAAUGAUAAGACCCUAAAGUCUUAUCGUCGCUCUGAUACCAAAUGAUAAGACCUUAAAGUCUUAUCGUGGAAGAAAUGGGAGAAAUAAGGAUAAUAACGAUCCCCUCGAAGUGAUCAAGGAGGGCCGAUCCCCUCGAAGCGAUCAAGGAGGCCGAUCCCCUCGAAGCAAUCAUUAUCAUCCUCAUUUCUCCCCUUUCUUCGAUGGUCUUAUCAUUUGGUAUCAGAGCCUACAAUAAGACUUUAGGGUCUUAUCAAAAAAUACAUAUGAUUAUACUUUAAUCAUAAAAUUAUG
rnacentral:lncRNA from 1 species